CAGUCGCCGCGGGAAUACGUAGGGGGCAAGCGUUAUCCGGAAUUACUGGGUGUAAAGGGAGCGUAGACGGUUAAACAAGUCUGAAGUGAAAUGCCGGGGCUCAACCCCGGAGCUGCUUUGGGAACUGUAGAACUGGAGUGUCGGAGGGGUAAGCGGAAUUCCCAGUGUAGCGGUGAAAUGCGUAGACAUUGGGAGGAACACCGGCGGCGAAGGCGGCUUACUGGACGACAACUGACGUUGAGGCUCGAAGGCGUGGGUAGCAAACAGGAUUAGAUACCCGUGUAGUCCCUGUCUCUUAUAC
rnacentral:rRNA from 1 species